rnacentral:rRNA from 1 species
GAUGAACGCUGGCGGCGUGCCUAAUACAUGCAAGUCGAGCGAACAGACGAGGAGCUUGCUCCUCUGACGUUAGCGGCGGACGGGUGAGUAACACGUGGAUAACCUACCUAUAAGACUGGGAUAACUUCGGGAAACCGGAGCUAAUACCGGAUAAUAUAUUGAACCGCAUGGUUCAAUAGUGAAAGACGGUUUUACUGUCACUUAUAGAUGGAUCCGCGCCGCAUUAGCUAGUUGGUAAGGUAACGGCUUACCAAGGCGACGAUACGUAGCCGACCUGAGAGGGUGAUCGGCCACACUGGAACUGAGACACGGUCCAGACUCCUACGGGAGGCAGCAGAAGGGAAUCUUCCGCAAUGGGCGAAAGCCUGACGGAGCAACGCCGCGUGAGUGAUGAAGGUCUUCGGAUCGUAAAACUCUGUUAUUAGGGAAGAACAAAUGUGUAAGUAACUAUGCACGUCUUGACGGUACCUAAUCAGAAAGCCACGGCUAACUACGUG